AUUGCUUGUAGUUCAUUCGGUGGGUCUGGACGGCCUUCAAAGACAUGGUCCUCUGUGGGUUUCGCCUCACCAUAUUGUGUCAUAGCGAAAUUCUUUGUGCACCACAGGCAGUGCAGCAUCGCACGCACCGCCCGCGAUGAUUGGUUCCUGCACGGGGUGGUGAAAAUUUUUUUUUUCCGCACCCUGAUUCCAUGUGUGCACCAAUUAUUGUGGAUAGUGCGCAUGUUUCUGCACCACCCAUGGUGCACAAAGAUUUCCUCUUGUGCC
rnacentral:lncRNA from 1 species